UAGCUCUCUACUGCCACCUAUAGGUACCUACCCUUCUUUCUAGGCAUGUGAAACACUAGAUGGGGCUAAGGGUUAAAAUUAACCCCUAAAACCUGGGGUGUUGCAGACUGCACCCAGAAUUCUGGUUGGGGAAUUGCUACUUAAGUGAUUUUCCCAGCGCAUUUAUCCGAGCCCUUUUCCCGGGUAUUAAAAUGCUAUAAAUCUGCAGGCGGUCGCGCCGCUGCUGUUCUAUUACAUGUCCUGUCUGUGCACGAGUGAAUUACAAAGCAAUUCAUCAGCGGGUGAAGGAGCCGGCGCCGGCACAAAUCCUGCGCUCAUCCGCCGCGGCAGAAAGCAGGGAUUGUGUAAUCAGCGUGGGGGGGAGCGGGCUGCAGCCUAAAGGGGAACUCCACCAAGCAACACAAUAGUCAAGGCCUAAUAGGGAGUGAUCUGCUGAACGGACGGUUAUUUGCCAAGAAAUACGGAACACGCAUUUUGGCUACUUCCUGUCUCUACUCCCUGCUCAAGCUGCGUCAAAUUUAUAAAGGGACAGACAUCGCUUUAAUAAACGCCACAAAUACCUCCGCUUUUUACCAAAACGACGUAACACAUUAAUACAUGACCCCCCCCCAAUGCUGCAUUCAUUUGUAGAUGAUGGGAGUAGUACCUCUGCCUAGAAGCCAAAGUAGACGUUUCCCCUUUAAGUAUUCGGUCUGACGGUCUGUUUCUUUGAUCUAUGAUGACAUCAGAGGAUCCCGUCCUGCAGCCGUCAUCGCCUGGCGCCAGCCUGGAGGACACCGAAGAGGACGCAGGUACCACCCAGCCGACGGGGGCGAGAUGUAGAGUAGACCCGUAGUUCUCGUGUCUGUGAAGCACCCUGGAUUUCUCCGACUCCUCCAUUGCUAGAACCUAAGCUACAGCGUCAGGAACAUCCAGAAAGAAUACGAGGACUGCAAAUCCCCCAUCAGUGUAUAGAUCUGUCACCUGUAGAUGCUCCCUGAGGCUCCACCAUCUUUGACUUACUGCAUUUAUAACACACAGCUAACCCGCCGAUCCACAGAGAGCCAUCAUCGCCCGCCAAGAAACACCCGAAAACAGAGUCCUCCAAGGUUCUCC